rnacentral:rRNA from 1 species
UACAGAGGGUGCAAGCGUUGUUCGGAAUUACUGGGCGUAAAGCGUGCGCAGGCGGUUUUGUAAGCCAGAUGUGAAAGCCCCGGGCUUAACCUGGGAAUGGCAUUUGGGACUGCAAGGCUUGAGUGCGGCAGAGGGGGAUGGAAUUCCGCGUGUAGCAGUGAAAUGCGUAGAUAUGCGGAGGAACACCGAUGGCGAAGGCAAUCCCCUGGGCCUGCACUGACGCUCAUGCACGAAAGCGUGGGGAGCAAACAGG